UACGGGGGGAGCAAGCGUUGUUCGGAUUUACUGGGCGUAAAGGGCGCGUAGGCGGCCUCUGCAAGUCGACUGUGAAAAUCUCCGGGCUUAACCCGGAAAGGUCAGCCGAUACUGCAGGGCUAGAGUGCAGAAGGGGCAACUGGAAUUCUCGGUGUAGCGGUGAAAUGCGUAGAUAUCGAGAGGAACACCUGCGGCGAAGGCGG
rnacentral:rRNA from 1 species